rnacentral:misc_RNA from 1 species
GAUGAAGAACGCAGCGAAAUGCGAUAAGUAAUGUGAAUUGCAGAAUUCAGUGAAUCAUCGAAUCUUUGAACGCACCUUGCGCCCUUUGGCUAUUCCGAAGGGCAUGCCUGUUUGAGUAUCGUGAACACCUCAACUCUCAUGGUUUGCCAUGAUGAGCUUGGACUUUGGGGGUUUUGCUGGCCUUUGGUCGGCUCCUCUCAAACGGAUCAGCUUUCCAGUGUUUGGUGGCGUCACGGGUGUGAUAACUAUCUACGCCUGUGGUUUUCUGCCAGAUAACCUUCAGCGAUGGAGGUUCGCUGGGGCUCAUCAAUGUCUCUCUUCAGUGGAGACAGCUUUUUGGACGUUUGAUCUCAAAUCAGGUAGGACUACCCGCUGAACUUAAGCAUAUCAAUAAGCGGAGGA